rnacentral:tRNA from 1 species
GCCCUGGCAGCUCAGUUGGUUAGAGUGUUGUCCCGAUAUGCCAAGAUUGCCAGUUCAAUUUCUGGUCAGGGCA